UGGGUCAUUGGUAGAGAUAGACCUAGAGUCUGUCAUACAGCAUGUCAUAAGUCAGAAAGAGAAAAGCCAGCAUUUUUGUUGUUGUAAAAUGGUUUUAUGUUUAGAAUCAAUUUUACUAUUAGGUAUAUUUUAAAAUCAAGUCCUUUGAAACAUCUCCCCGUUGUGAAAGUUGGUUUGGUCUGGGCUGCUGGAGCGAAGGGCUCCGAGGAUUCAGGGUGCGGAAACUGUUGGCAUGCCACCUGACUCUGACUCACCUCCAAUUAGGCAAUUAGUCCCACAUUAUUUGAGUACCCAAUUUACUUUUACAUUUUAAAGUUGUAAAAUGCAUAAUGAUUUUUUUCACUUCCUAAUUAUGAGUAAUAAAAAUUUAAGGGAAUAUAAAGUUUAACUUGUCUGUUAAUUGAGGGGAAAGAGCCAUUCUAAAUCAGUCAAGAACAGAAUGGUCACCGAAGAAACACAGAAGAAACUGCCCGUGAGGAUCCCGUUUGCUAUUUUAAUUAGCGUCUGUCAAUUAGAAGCGAAUGACAGUGGGGAAGGAAUCCUGAUUAAUGAAAUCAUCAUCCCAAAUUGAAAGGGAAGGUCAAAAAGAACAUGAUGUCUCAUUCGACUUCAUCUUGAGGGUCUGACACACAGAAAUUUUUCGAAUCCUCUUUCAGACCUCAGGAGACUAGGCUGUUAAUAUGACCACUCAAUUAACUCUGGGUAUAAUUAACUGCCUGCCUAGCCCUGCCUACCACCAAAACUCUCUGUCAGCAAGAUUAGUGCAGCUGGCACACGUGAGGGGGCUGACAUGGUUUUCUCUCCUGCACAUUGAUGGAGUGGGGACCAGGGAGAGGACAUUACAAGUCACCACUGCAUAGAGGACGUGGCUGUUCCUCUAUGAUUUGUCCAGAGCAGGCAGGGGACCUGUGAGCAUAUUAGCUGCUGUUUGAACAAAUUUCGCAGUGCUCUAGGCCAAUUUCAGCAGCUAGUUUGGCAGCUAAACUAGUCCAAGUCAUAAAAGGGGAGGCUUCUAAAGCACAUUCAGUCACUGAGAAACAGCCAACCCAGUUUCCAACCAAUAACCCCUCCUGUGAAGUUAGUAAGCAGGGCAUCUGUCCUCCGUCUUAACAAACAAGGCACAGAUGCCAAUCGGAGCUCAGCCAGGCUCCACUGAACACGGCUUGCAGGCCACUCUCAAGGCCCUCCUUUCUUCAAGCUCAGCACAAAGCAAAAAAUCUUAAUUUUUAUCCAUCAAAAUUUUGCUUAUUGAAGUGAUGCCCUGGUUGGAGGAAUUGAUGAUUUCAGUGAUAACAUUUUUAUGACAAGAGCCUCACUCUGUGUCUCGUGACCCUCCAUCCCCAAAAUCUUUCUCUAAGAGUGUAACAUCUAAGGAGAAGCAUUCACUGUAAACAACAUUAAAAUGGCAAUCAUUUGGAAAUAUCUAGAUGAACGAUGAACACUUUUGAGUCUGGAACUGAUGGAACCUUGUAAAUCCUGAAACUCAGGACGAAAAACAAAGCAUGUGGCUGCUGCUGCUGCUAAGUCGCUUCAGUCAUGUCCAACUCUGUGCAACCCCCUAGAUGGCAGCCCACCAGGCUUCCCCGUCCCUGGGAUUCUCCAAGCAAGAACACUGAAGUGGGUUGCCAUUUCCUUCUCCAUACAUGUGGCAGUAGCUAUGCAACUCUGCGAAUAUAAUAAAAACAUUGACUUGUAUACCCUGAA